rnacentral:rRNA from 1 species
UGGGGAAUAUUGGACAAUGGGCGAAAGCCUGAUCCAGCCAUGCCGCGUGAGUGAUGAAGGCCCUAGGGUUGUAAAGCUCUUUUGUGCGGGAAGAUAAUGACGGUACCGCAAGAAUAAGCCCCGGCUAACUUCGUGCCAGCAGCCGCGGUAAUACGAAGGGGGCUAGCGUUGCUCGGAAUCACUGGGCGUAAAGGGUGCGUAGGCGGGUUUCUAAGUCAGAGGUGAAAGCCUGGAGCUCACCUCCAGAACUGCCUUUGAUACUGGAAGUCUUGAGUUCGGGAGAGGUGAGUGGAACUGCGAGUGUAGAGGUGAAAUUCGUAGAUAUUCGCAAGAACACCAGUGGCGAAGGCGGCUCACUGGCCCGAUACUGACGCUGAGGCACGAAAGCGUGGGGAGCAAACA